rnacentral:rRNA from 1 species
UCCUACGGGGGGCAGCAGUGAGGAAUAUUGGUCAAUGGGGGAGAUCCUGAACCAGCCAAGCCGCGUGAGGGAAGACGGCCCUAUGGGUUGUAAACCUCUUUUGUCGGAGAACAAAACCCGGGACGUGUCCCGGCCUGCGUGUAUCCGAAGAAAAAGCAUCGGCUAACUCCGUGCCAGCAGCCGCGGUAAUACGGAGGAUGCGAGCGUUAUCCGGAUUUAUUGGGUUUAAAGGGUGCGUAGGCGGUCCGUUAAGUCAGCGGUAAACUUGCGGGGCUCAACCCUGUCGAGCCGUUGAAACUGGCAGA